AUUUCAAGGAAUCAAACAACUCCUCAAACAACCCCAACACUGGUCAGAUUCAAAAUUUGAACUUGCAGACAUUACAAGAAAAGAUGUCUUAUUUAUCUUGACCAAAAUAUGAAUUUUACCAUGGAUGUAGAGUUGUGGCCUAAAAAGAGCCAAAGUAUUCUAUUAACAUUAAAAAGUGCAGAUGUAUUAUUCUGAUGACAUAUGACUUAUAAUAAUUGGAUUUGUGAAGAUUGAUGUUUUCAUAUAUUUUGGAUUAAAUCUUCUGAACUGCAUGAUGAAACAAAAGACAAUUGUUUUGUGAUAGGACUGAAGAAUGGACACAUUCAAUCAGACUUGGAGCAUCAUACGAAAGAAAUGGAAAGUUGUCCACUAGGUCAUCAAUCAUCUGCCGAA